UACAAAAUUAGUCUGCACAUAUAAUCUUGCGGAUUUGUUCUUUAAAAUUUAAAAGAUAUUUUUGCUGUAAAAUUUCCCCGAAAAGUACGUAUCCCAUUCAUCUAGUAACACUGAUUAAUAUACAUACUAAACAACACAUACAAGCUUGACAACUUUCUGAUAUCUCGUUGUUAAAUUAUAUCAACCAAAUAGAAUAAAAAAAAACUACGUGAGUUACGGCAUUCAGCAGCCGGGUAUUAGCUUUUCAGCUUUUCCUAACACGUAAUCGGUGACAUUAUAAGCUUUUUUAGCAGCAGCGGUGAAGGGAAAUUCAUUGCAUUGCACAUUUUCGUGAGAAUUAAGAGAGAGAGAUAGAGAAACAAUAAUGAAAGAGAAUAGCUUAUUGCAACUUAGGGAUUCAAACUUAUACUAUACAAUGGGAAACUUCCAAAAUUUAGAUAUUGUAUCUUUUCGGGUUUCCGUCGUCCGUCGUCGAUAAACCAGUAUGCACUGGCACGGGCAAGAAAUUAUAUAUUCAACUUGAAUCAUUGAUUUAAUUAGUUGUUUAUUUGGUUGUUUUCUUUUUCUACUAUAUUUCUUUGAUAAAGAGCUUCGUGAUAAUAAAAUAAUAAUAAUAAAUAAAAAAACUACAGAAGCAAAAAAAAAAGAAGAAUAUAAAAAAAAAAUGAUAUACACAUUCGCAUUUGUACUAUUAUCGGCGCAUAAAAACAUAGAGGCUCGCCCUCGCUUUUUCUAUGGAAAAUGUUCAAAAUUUGCGCAUUUCAAUAUUUCGUUGUCGUUGGUUUUCGUGCUAUGAUUUAUGAGUAUUUAAAAUGCAUAUAGAGACACACGACAAAACCACCACCAAGACAAGUGCAAUUCCUACGGCAAGAGAUAGACAUCCAUCUACAAUCAGUUUUUGUAACGCCGCCGAGCCGGUCGAGGUAGACAAAUCGACUAAAAAUUUAUAUUAUUUACCCAGUCUGGUUUUUUGUUACACAAUUUUUUAAAUGCCAAUUACUAUUUGAGAACUGAGAAAAUAAUAUUGCUCAACUUCAAGUUAAUGAUGGAAAUCCGAAAAAUGUUUUGGAAAACUCACAGGGGUUGUUAGAUUUAAAAAAACGGUGAAAAAAAAGGAUUGAAAAAUUUGCGGUGCAGUGCGUGGGAGAAUAUGAAUACUCUACCUAUAAGCAACGUUCAACGACGACGAGAAAACCUCCAAAAGUGAUUAAUCGUUAAAAUCGAUAUUGUGAACCUAUGUGUUGUACACCGUACACCGUACACCCGGAAGGUGCUGCUAUACGGUGAAAGAGGCUGGAGCGACAACGAACGAGGGGAAUACGAACGAAUACUUUGCCGUGAACGGAGUUUUUUUUUUUUUUUUCGUUUCUCCACCAGACAAAGUAGGAUAUUUUAUUUUCGUCUGCCGAAGUUGUGCCGGCGAAUAUGAUAAAAUACAUCACGCACAAGUUGCGAACACAGUCGAUUAACGAUAACCUUAGUAAUUCUUGUAAUUUUAGCAAAAAGAGUGACGUACACGAUUCCGGAACCGAAUCUGAUGGUGAUAUAGAUGCUGAGAGAGUCCACUCAGAGCCCGAAAUGGAAACAAGCAUGAGCUCCCGCCUAGACGCUACUUCCCCAACUGAUACCGCCUGCUCCUUAGAUUCCCCUGCCAUGAUGUGUCAGUCCCACCUGUUAUAUGAUCAACACAGCUCUGAAGAAGAGCUUGAAGUUAUAAAUGGACCGUCUUCUUUAGCAGCUGCAGAAGCGGCAGCCAGUAUUUUAGUUGUACGUGGAACAGCCUCAUCACUCAUAUCGGAACGAGGUUCAUCAUCCUUAGAGCCAGAUGAACUUUUUGGUGAGGCUGCUUCAACAUCGAAACGUUCCAGCUCGACGAUGAUAGAAAACAGAAAACGAUCUUUGGCUCACAGUUCAGAUGAUGAACUAAAAAAUAUGUUAGAACCGAUCUCAACACCAGUUAACUUCCGGACCUCGCCACCAUUGGAGGCGUUAAAACCGAAUCGAAGCCAUAUGUUCCGUUCCGCAACUCCGCUUAUCCUGACUGAGGCGAGUCGUGGCAUUGAGAACAUUAAAAUUUCUUGUGAUAGUACUAGUAGUGACCAAAACGGCGGCAGCGGUGAUGGAAGCAGCAGCAGCAACAACAGUGGCAAUGGUGAGCAAAAUUCAGCCAGUACCAGUAAUCAAAGUAGCUGUAUUGCUGCAUUAAAAUCAAGCUGCAGCAGCCAUCAUAUCCACCAACCUCAGCCAAAAUAUCAAUUUCAUUACAACAGUAGUAGAAGCAGUCCAGCAUCAACAACAGGACUAGAAUUGGAUGUGCGUUCAGUAAGCCCGCCGGCGAAACUUUUUCAUUGUGCAAUAUCCCCACGUCGGCGACCAAUGCGAGCCCAUCACGCACCAAAUAGACUACAGCGUCCUCAUAGACCAUGUUUAGAUUUUGAUAAAAUGCAACAGCAAAGUGACUCAACAACCAAUGAACCUCCAACGUGUAAGAGCGUAUUUCCAAUAGUAUGACCAUUUUGUAGGAAUUAUCGUAUAGUAGCCACUACUGUGAUAAAAUUACUGCAAACGACAUGAAUUGAAACUCCAGGACCGAUCGGUGUCCUCGUGGCGGCACAAUAGCGAACAUACAGGUGAAUUGUCUGUUUUCUGUUGGUGAUGAGAUACAAAACAACAACAAAAAAUAACAAAAAUAGAAAACUUUUUGCUCUCCUUCUACAACAACAACAACUCCCAUGAAAACAAAAUUUGGUCAUCUACAAUAGCCACACCACCCCCAACCGCCCCCUUUAUCAAAUACCAAAACCCCCAUCAUCAGAGUUACCAGAGUGUUUGCGGUCCUCCUCGUCGAAGUUAUAUUGGAUUUUUACGAAUUUAAUUUGUGGCUCACACGUUUCAAUGGAUGCGGAAAUUAUGUGUCGAAUUUGUCAGUUCUGUCUUAAAGAAUUAAAAAAAUAAUAUAUAUAUAAAUAAUUAUAUAAUAAAGUUGAUUUGUUUCCCACGGAAAUGGCAACGAUGAUGUAUUAAAAAAUAACUUUUUUAUGGAUAUGCAUUGACAUUAUUGUUAAACAAAAAAAAAAAAAGUAUAUUUUAAAUUUUUGUUUCGUUUUCUUAUAUUUUACUUUGUCCUUCCUCCAAUUUUCACAAUAUCCAAAUUUUAAAUUUAAUCAAAAACAAAAAAACAAACAAAAACACCGCCAAUUUAUCUUCGACGACAGUAUACAGUUACAGCAAAA